rnacentral:rRNA from 1 species
AGAGUUUGAUCCUGGCUCAGGACUAACGCUGGCGGUGCGCCUAACACAUGCAAGUCGUACGAGCCCUUCGGGGCGAGUGGCAGACGGGUGAGUAACGCGUAGGUAAUGUACCUCUUCGCUGGGGAUACCUAUCCGAAAGGAUAGCUAAUACCGAAUGAACUUAUUGAACGGCAUCGUUUGAUUCGUAAACCUCCGGGGCGAAGAGAUCAGCUUGCGUACUAUCAGCUAGUAGGUGGGGUAACGGCCUACCUAGGCUACGACGGUUAGCCGGUCUGAGAGGAUGAUCGGCCACAUUGGAACUGAAACACGGUCCAGACUCCUACGGGAGGCAGCAGUGAGGAAUCUUGCGCAAUGGGCGAAAGCCUGACGCAGCGACACCGCGUGGGGGAUGAAGGUCUUCGGAUUGUAAACCUCUGUCAGUGGGGACGAGAACGGACGGUACCUACUGAGGAAGCAUCGGCUUACUACGUGCCAGCAGCCGCGGUAAUACGUAGGAUGCAAGCGUUGUCCGGAAUUACUGGGCGUAAAGAGCUCGUAGGCGGGAAGGUACGUUUGGAAGUAAAUCUCACGGCUCAACUGUGAGCUCAUUCCAAAUACGGCUUUUCUUGAGGGCAGCAGGGGAGAAUGGAAUUCCCAGUGUAGCGGUGAAAUGCGUAGAUAUUGGGAAGAAUACCGGUGGCGAAGGCGAUUCUCUGGGCUGUGACUGACGCUGAGGAGCGAAAGCGUGGGUAGCGAACGGGAUUAGAUACCCUGGUAGUCCACGCUGUAAACGAUGAAUACUAGGUGUAGGGGGGUAUCGACUCCCUCUGUGCCGCAGUUAACACAAUA